rnacentral:lncRNA from 1 species
AGUCUUGUGACUCCUCACUAGGACUACCCUGGCCAAGGUUUUGCUAAAUUGAAACACGACUAUACACAGCUCCUGAACUGGAGUGGUCAAUCCCAUCUUGACACACGCACCGACAAAUCAAGUACUUGACUACACCCAGCAGCCUUCCAUCACUGAAUUAGAAAUUCAGGUAGUUCAGUGCCUAAGUGCAGUGAGUUGCUUGCAAGUCAUUGUGGCAGUCUCAGGUCGGAGGGAUAGUUAUACCUAUAUCCCAUCGGAGCAAAUCUUGACAGCAGAAAAAGCUCCAGAGUCGGUCACGUUCAGUGCAGAUGUACCCUUACAUCUCACCUGUAUGCCAUACCAGUGUCUCCACACUCCUUGGUUAAGAGGACAACCAACCCAUAUCGCACACAAUGACCUAUGUUUGAUAAACAUUGUUGUCCUUGGUAACAACGUAUCAUUUUAUCGCGAACAGGUUUAAGGACUAAAUGACAAAUCCUCCUUUGUCGAGUCUAAAUAGUCCUAAGGACUUCACCACAACACAGGAGUUC